UGUUUUGGGCUUAGAAUACCUAGAUGGCCCAGACUUUUUUUGCCAGCGAUUUUAUGGUUACGUUACAAACCACCUAUAAGAUUCAAAACAAAUUAAUUAUCGGUUCAGUACCAUUAAUCUCUCGGUUUGAUAUUUUAAGCAGAAUCAAAUCCAGCCAAUCAAUAAUUCAAUCUUAUACUUCUUUUUACCAAUUUUGUAACCACGUAAUAAAAGCGAAACAGACAGAAAAUUAAAGAGAAAGCAAUAAAGUGGUUAUGUUUUUGGAUACAUGGUUUUUUUUUUUACUUUUCCUAGAAUAAACAGUUAGAAAAUAGGCUUUGUUUACAAUUAUUUUUUGGGCUAUAAUAUUUAUGUAUUUAUUGGAUAAUGCAUGAUAAAAUUAAAUAAUAUAUCUCAAUGUUAAUAAAUAUGAAAUUAAAAGAUAAGAUGUAGUUACAGGUGACCAAUGUUAUUAAAUAUCAAACUAAAUUUCAGAUAAAAUUUUUUGUAUACUUUACUUUCUGUACAGAUUUAUAUCUGAUUUUCAAUUUAUGCGGUAUAGAUAUGAUAUAAAAUAAAUAUAUACAAUUUUAAAUUGAUAUAAUAUUUUUUUUAAAACAAAUUAUAUUCAUACUGUAUAUUAAUACAUAUUUAGAUUUUUUUUAAAAAUAUUAGUUAGAUUUUUUUAAAAAAAAUAUUACUAUCUAACUGUGCAACACACAUCCAACAAAAAAAUAUAUAUAGCACAAUACAAUAAAAAUAUAUAUGGUCUGAAUAAUAAACAAACAUCUGAGCGGACACACAUAUUUGAUGGUUGCACUUAAAUUUGAUUUUUAGCACAGCUCGAAAUCGGUUUGAGAAGCGAGUCAUGGUCCGACCGGUUCGAGAGUCGAUACGGUCCGGUUUUUAAAACACUGCAAAUAUGUAAUAUGGAAAACUGUAUUUAAUAUAUAUAAACUAUAAAUUAUGUAAAAAAUAUACACUCGCGCGGGGGCGCGGAUCAAAAGCUAGUUAGUAGGUUAAUAGUCAAACCAAAAGGAAGGAACAAUUAUAUAUCUGAAAGUGAGGAUGAGUAAUAUAACAAUUGACACAUGUUAAACUAUCUAUUCUAUUAAAACACAUGUUUGUUUGACCCAUUGAUAAAAGUUGGAUCCAACAACUAUUUCUUUUAUCUUUAUCAUUAUUUAGAAUAUUAUUUAUUAUGUUUUAUGUCAUUAGACCUAUAUUUAAAUUAUCAAUUGAAAAGACCUAAAAAAAUAUAAAACAAAAAAUAUACCCGCCCUUAAAAUAUUUAAAUUAUCAAAUGAAAAGACCUAAAAAAAUAUAAAACAAAAAAUAUACCCGCCCUUUCAGAAUCUAGUUACUUUUAAUAUAAUAGAUAAAACCAUGGCAUUUGGUAUGAACUAAAAUGAAGAAACAAUAUUCAAUAUUUAUAACCGUAGCUGAAUAUAUGUAUUUGGGGGAAGUGGGUUCCUAAAAUUUUGGAACUAAAGUAAAGGUUGCAAAAUUAUUUUAUUAGAAAAGGUAGUUAUGGUUACAAUUUGCGUUGCCAAAAAAAAGUCAUACAAUUUGCUUUGUAUUUAAAUAAAGGAAGUAAAUAGUUUGACUUAACAUCCCUUAUAUACUAAAACGCAAGUCGCUAAUCAAAAAAUGCCAUGUCGAAAAAAAAUUAAAACAAUUAAAAACAAUUGACAUGUGGAAAAUAUUUUAAAAACAAUAACGAUUUAAAAAACAAAUGUAAAUACAGAAAAUUUUAAACGCAUAAAACAUGUUUUAUCUAUUAACUGAUUUCCUUUUAUUUGUUUUAUAUAUAAAAUAAAAGUUUCCAAUAUAUUCACACGACACCCAUGAUCCCACUACUUAGAAACUACUAAUCUUUUUUUAGAUAAUUGUCAUAUAUUAGUUCCAUUUCUACUUGCAAUCAGAAAUAGUAAAUUCUUAAAUCUCUUGCAAUGGCUCCAUUGAUCUCUCUAAAGUUUCAACUUCUAAUGACGAAAUCAUUUACAGUUCAAGAUCCAAAUCCAAAUUGUUUCUGGUCCAACAUUUGGGUAAUAGUUUUCAAAAGAAUUUCGCCUUUUAACGAAAUGAGAAAAAGACGAACAUCAAUAUGCUAUGGAUUGAUACUGACGUUGGAUGAUAAAGCUUUCAAGUCCAUACAUUAACCAAAACUACAUACUGCAUGUGAAAAAGUUCACGAAAAGAUUAAUAUGAUCUCAAUUUAGAACACACGUACACAGCCUCUGAGAAUUUGAGAAGCACCACAAGAAGAAAAGAAAAAAAAAGACAGAAAACAUGGAGAUACUUAGAAGGCAGCAAAUGAAAUCAAAUGAAAGAUUCAUGUCUACUAUCUAAAUCCAGACCUAACACUAUGGUAAAUUUUCUUUUCUAGUUAUUUGUUUGUUUAUAAUUAUAUAGAAAAUGCAGUGAAAUUUACCUAUAUACUAGGUGUCUUCCUGCAAAUGGUGCAGUAAAAAAAAAUUAAAAUAUUUUUUAACAGAUAAAUAUAAAUUAUAUUUUAAAAUAAAAUUUUAU